UUGACCUCGGAUCAGGUAGGGAUACCCGCUGAACUUAAGCAUAUCAAUAAGCGGAGGAAAAGAAACCAACAGGGAUUGCCCCAGUAACGGCGAGUGAAGCGGCAAGAGCUCAAAUUUGAAAGCUGGCUCCUUCGGGGUCCGCAUUGUAAUUUGCAGAGGAUGUUUCGGGAGUGGCCCCCAUCUAAGUGUCCUGGAACGGACCGUCAUAGAGGGUGAGAAUCCCGUAUGGGAUGGGGUGCCCACGCCCGUGUGAAACUCCUUCGACGAGUCGAGUUGUUUGGGAAUGCAGCUCUAAAUGGGUGGUAAAUUUCAUCUAAAGCUAAAUAUUGGCCGGAGACCGAUAGCGCACAAGUAGAGUGAUCGAAAGAUGAAAAGCACUUUGAAAAGAGAGUUAAAAAGCACGUGAAAUUGUUGAAAGGGAAGCGUUUGCGAUCAGACUCGCCGACGGGGUUCAGCCUGCCUUCGGGCAGGUGUACUUCCCCGCCGGCGGGCCAGCGUCGGUUUGGGUGGCCGGUCAAAGGCCCUAGGAAUGUAACGCCUCUCGGGGCGUCUUAUAGCCUAGGGUGUCAUGCGGCCUACCCGGACCGAGGAACGCGCUUCGGCUCGGACGCUGGCAUAAUGGUCGUAAACGACC
rnacentral:rRNA from 1 species